UACGGAGGGGGCUAGCGUUGUUCGGAAUUACUGGGCGUAAAGCGCGCGUAGGCGGACCUGCAAGUCGGGAGUGAAAGCCCGAGGCUCAACCUCGGAACUGCCUUCGAUACUGCGGGUCUCGAGUCCGGGAGAGGUGAGUGGAAUUCCUAGUGUAGAGGUGAAAUUCGUAGAUAUUAGGAAGAACACCAGUGGCGAAGGCGGCUCACUGGCUCGGUACUGACGCUGAGGCGCGAAAGCGUGGGGAGCAAACAGG
rnacentral:rRNA from 1 species